GUUGAGGUCUGUCUUCUCCUGCAGCCACUCACUGUUGGAAAUGCCUCGUAGGGCAAUUCUAUGGUUUUGUUUUACUCAUAGGACUGUUAGGCCUAUGGGAAGGAACUACAAGACAAUC